rnacentral:rRNA from 1 species
GACGAACCGUACGAACGUUAUUCGGAAUCACUGGGCUUAAAGGGUGCGUAGGCGGCGCGACAAGUUGGGUGUGAAAUCCCUCGGCUCAACCGAGGAACUGCGCCCAAAACUGUCGUGCUCGAGGGAGACAGAGGUGAGCGGAACUUAGGGUGGAGCGGUGAAAUGCGUUGAUAUCCUAAGGAACACCGGUGGCGAAAGCGGCUCACUGGGUCUCGUCUGACGCUGAGGCACGAAAGCUAGGGUAGCGAACGGG